rnacentral:rRNA from 1 species
AGCUGCGGCUAACUACGUGCCAGCAGCCGCGGUAAUACGUAGGGAGCAAGCGUUGUUCGGAAUUACUGGGCGUAAAGGGUGCGUAGGCGGUUUUUUAAGUCUGGUGUGAAAUCUCCCGGCUCAACUGGGAGGGUGCGCCGAAUACUGUAAGGCUAGAGUGUGGGAGAGGAAAGUGGAAUUCCUGGUGUAGCGGUGAAAUGCGUAGAUAUCAGGAGGAACACCUGUGGUGUAAACGGCUUUCUGGACCAUUACUGACGCUGAGGCACGAAAGCGUGGGUAGCAAACAGGAUUAGAUACCCUGGUAGUCCACGCCCUAAACGAUGCAUAUUUGGUGUGGGCCAUUCAUUUGGUUCGUGCCGGAGCUAACGCGUUAAAUAUGCCGCCUGGGGAGUACAGU